GGCAUGUAACUUUCUUUCAACAGGAUCAUUUAAGGGUCUAACUUUGGAUUGAAGCAGAACUUUCGCGCCAAGUCCAAGUCUAUCAGGACGGCCCUCUGGUUCUACUUCUGUUGUUUCAUCCUCUAUACCUUUACUCAUGUUAUUAACCCAUUGUUCAGCCAAUUUCAAUGCCUUUUCCAAUCUGACAAUUUGAUGAGCUCCAGGUUUUUUCUGUGUCUCCUUGCUCAUAGCUAACUCUUUCACUGCACUCGUUUGGCAGAACAGUGAGCAAC
rnacentral:misc_RNA from 1 species